rnacentral:lncRNA from 1 species
AAGUUCUGUUGCUGCUUCUGCACUCCAUUUUGAUGUGGUCAGGCUUUUCAGCACAAUUUCAUGAUGGGAUUGAGACAAGAGCGUCAAAUGCUCGUCCAAAGAAAAAGGUUGAUCAAUUUGGAUCUAAAGGUAGUUCAGGUGAACCUGUGAAGAAUGAAGGUUUUGUUAUUAGCUGGAUUGAGAUGAUUUAUCUGGUUGGUCUUGUAGUUGUAGAGAUAUGGGGCCAAUUUUUACACCCUCUUCUUUUGGGUGAUAAGCUUGCAUUCGCGCCCCUUAUGUUGGUCUCUAUAUACUGUGCUUUUGGGAUCAUGUACUCUUGGAUUUGGCAGCUAAGAUCCAUUGUUAAAUCUCUUUAAAUUUUGGAUUGUUUGCAGUCAUAUUGAAUUCUCUUUGCAUGCACUUUUAGAAGCAGAAUUUCGAGAGCUCUCUUUUUACUUUUUUCAAGCAAGACAUUGCUUGAUAUGAAUAUUAUUAAACCCUAAUUGAAAAGUUAUUUGAUCAUGACUCUUUCUCAAGUUCCAUGGUAGACUGAUAGUAUAGCUAGGCGCAUAAUUAGGAUCUGCCCAGAUGGUUUUUUUUGUUGUCACAGAUAGGUUUGAAUUCUUAUCUUGUGUCAUAGUUCUGUUUGGAAAUCCCCCGGCAAAAGUAUAAAAGGGAAAUAAUAUUCACAAAUUUUAGGACUUAAAGCACUUAAAUAUCUCUUACAUUAGUUAUAUACAAAUGGAACAUCGAAUAAGUAAUCUUAACCAAACUUAUAAAGGAACAUGACAUGCACCAUGUCCUAAAAGAAUUGUUCUUUACAAACCUUCAUGGCAAUGAUCGAAAACUCCCUACCAUAUGAUUGAAAAACUGAAAAAUUGGCCCAAGACAAGCUCUGAUCGUGUUUCCACCAAAAAGCCUCCAACAUGAACAAGAGGCAACCCUAUUCUUCAGUCUUUCCCAGAAAUCCACAAAGCAGUUUCGGCUCCUGGU